ACAACUUUCAGCAACGGAUCUCUUGGUUCUCGCAUCGAUGAAGAACGCAGCGAAUUGCGAUAAGUAAUGUGAAUUGCAGAUUUCCAGUGAAUCAUCGAAUCUUUGAACGCACCUUGCGCUCCUUGGUAUUCCGAGGAGCAUGCCUGUUUGAGUGUCAUUAAAUUCUCAA
rnacentral:rRNA from 1 species